rnacentral:rRNA from 1 species
CCAGAGAACUUAGCAGAGAUGCUUUGGUGCCUUCGGGAACUCUGAGACAGGUGCUGCAUGGCUGUCGUCAGCUCGUGUUGUGAAAUGUUGGGUUAAGUCCCGCAACGAGCGCAACCCUUUAUCCUUUGUUGCCAGCGAUUCGGUCGGGAACUCAAAGGAGACUGCCGGUGAUAAACCGGAGGAAGGUGGGGAUGACGUCAAGUCAUCAUGGCCCUUACGGCCAGGGCUACACACGUGCUACAAUGGCGCAUACAAAGAGAAGCGACCUCGCGAGAGCAAGCGGACCUCAUAAAGUGCGUCGUAGUCCGGAUUGGAGUCUGCAACUCGACUCCAUGAAGUCGGAAUCGCUAGUAAUCGUAGAUCAGAAUGCUACGGUGAAUACGUUCCCGGGCCUUGUACACACCGCCCGUCACACCAUGGGAGUGGGUUGCAAAAGAAGUAGGUAGCUUAACCUUCGGGAGGGCGCUUACCACUUUGUGAUUCAUGACUGGGGUGAAGUCGUAACAAGGUAAGCGUAGAUGA